rnacentral:rRNA from 1 species
UACGAAGGGGGCUAGCGUUGUUCGGAAUUACUGGGCGUAAAGCGCGCGCAGGCGGUCUUCCAAGUCAGUGGUGAAAGCCCGGAGCUCAACUCCGGAACUGCCAUUGAAACUGUGAGACUGGAGUACGAGAGAGGUGAGUGGAAUUCCCAGUGUAGAGGUGAAAUUCGUAGAUAUUGGGAAGAACACCGGUGGCGAAGGCGGCUCACUGGCUCGUUACUGACGCUCGGGCACGACAGCGUGGGGAUCAAACAGG